GACGAACGCUGGCGGCGUGCCUAAUACAUGCAAGUAGAACGCACAGUUUAUACCGUAGCUUGCUCCACCAUAGACUGUGAGUUGCGAACGGGUGAGUUACGCGUAGGUAACCUGCCUGGUAGCGGGGGAUAACUAUAGGAAACGAUAGCUAAUACUGCAUAAUAUUGAUUAUUGCAUGAUAAUUGAUUGAAAGUUGCUAUUGCAUCACUACCAGAUGGACCUGCGUUGUAUUAGUUAGUAGGUGAGGUAACGGGCCACCUAGGCGACGAUACAUACCCGCCAUGAAAGGGAGAUCGGCCAGAUGGGGUCUGAGAAAGGGCCCACACUCCUAGAGGGAGACGCAGUAGGGAAUCUUCGGCAAUGGACGAGAGUCUGACCGAGCAACGCCGCGUGAGUGAAGAAGGUUUUCGGAUCGUAGAGCUCUGUUGUAAGAGAAGAACGGGUGUGAGAGUGGAAAGUACAAACUGUGACGGUAUCUUACCAGAAAGGGACGGCUAACUCCGU
rnacentral:rRNA from 1 species